CCUCCCUGGCAAUGGGCAAAGAGAUACCUUGCUAGUGAUGGUGUUCUAUCAGUCAGGGGCAGAGCAGAUGGCAAUUCUUUGUUCAUCCUAGCUUGGUGCCUGCCUUGGUGGCUGGAGCUGUCUUAUGCUUAGGACUCAUAA
rfam:Mus musculus chromosome 2, GRC primary reference assembly.